rnacentral:rRNA from 1 species
UACGUAGGGGGCAAGCGUUGUCCGGAUUUAUUGGGCGUAAAGAGCGUGUAGGCGGCUAUACAGGUCCGCUGUGAAAACUCGAGGCUCAACCUCGAGACGUCGGUGGAAACCGUAUGGCUAGAGUCCGGAAGAGGAGAGUGGAAUUCCUGGUGUAGCGGUGAAAUGCGCAGAUAUCAGGAAGAACACCAGUGGCGAAGGCGGCUUCCUGGCCUGUUCUUGACGCUGAGGCGCGAAAGCUAGGGGAGCAAACGGG